AAUGUACUCCCUCCGUCUGGAAAUACUUGUCAUCAAAAUGGAUAAAAAGAUAUGUAUCUAGAACUACAAUACAUCUAGAUACAUCCCCAUUUAUCUAUUUUGAUAACAAGUAUUUCCGGACGGAGCGAGUAAAUA
rfam:Triticum urartu cultivar G1812 contig696539, whole genome shotgun sequence.